UAGCUCAGUUGGUAGAGCAUCAGCCUUCCAAGCUGAGGGUCGCGAGUUCGAAUCUCG
rnacentral:tRNA from 1 species